GGGCGGCACCUCUAAGGAGGUUUUGCUUCAAUCUAAAACAGGAAUGAUUAUGAACAUCUGGGGGAAGAACAUUCCAGACAGAGAGAACAGUGGGUGCCAAGGCACAAGAAUAAGCUUGAGGAGUGCAGGGAACAGAACGGGCUUGGAAACUUCUACCUCACUCAUCCUGUGCCAAGAGGUUACAUGGCGCAGGAUGAGUGCGGUGGAAAGUUGUUCAAGAUUAUGUCUACAAUCUCGGCAAGGAGUGUGCCAUGUAACUUCUUAUAAGGAAUUUGAUUUUUAUUCUAAAAGAGAUGAGAAUUCUUUAAUAGGUUCUAAACAGUGGGGUGACAUGAGACAGUUUAGAGCCUAUAAAGCACACUUUGGUUGCUAGGUGGAAAAUGAUUGGCAGAGGGUGAGGAGUGGAAGUUGAGAGACCAGCUGUAUUCUGUGUAAGACAUGUUCUGUGUAAGGCAAUGGUUCUCCACCCUGGAUGCAUAUAAGAAGGGCUUUAAAAAAGGUAAAAACUGAGCAAGUUUCAGUUCCUGACCCAAAGACUCAGAUUUACUUGUACUGGAGUAAGGUGUUUGUUUGUUUGUUUUUCUUAAGGUGUAAACAAAUAUCAAAAGCUCAUCAGGGAACUCUAAUGUACAUCGAGAGUUAAAAACCAUUGGCAUAAUGUGAUGACAGUGGAAUUAGAGGGAAGAGGACAGAUUAGGGUUAUGUUUUCAAUGUACGUUCAACAGGGCUUGCUAAUGGCUUAGAAGUAGGAAGGAAGGAACUGAGAAGACACAAGAAAUACUUCCAGGGUUUGGGCCUGAGGAACUUGGUUGGUGAUGACUGCAUUUCCUAAAAUGUUGAUGUCUGAGAAAAUACCAAACUUGGGCAAGAUAGAAAUCAAGGGUUCUGUUUCGAAUAUGCUAAAUUUGGAAUGCCUAUUGUAUGUCCAAAGUACACGAGAAGAAAUCUCGUCAUCUUCACAUCUAAGGGCCAUUCUGGCUGUGUUUCCUCCAAGACGUGUUAUUAGGAGGGACCAGUCCCUGGAGAAAGACAUCAUGUUUGGUAAAAUAGAAGAACCCACGAAGACAGGAGUGAUGCCUUCCUGAAGAUACAGAUAAUAGGAGUUGAAGAUGGCUCAUUCAAUUCAUUUGUCUCCACUCCACCUCUGCUUGGUCCUGCUCCCUGAGCUUACUAGCCUCUUCUAGGUCCCUAUGCCCAGUCAAAUGAACCUCUGUCAAGAAGCCAAGAAGACUACACCCAAGUGGCAGAAGAAAUGGGAUCGUCUCAUCCUCCAAGGGUACCCUAGAUGCCUGCAAAUGAGGAAUUUACCUGCAAUGUUUUGCAAAUGGGAUACAGUAAUGAGCAAAUAAAGUCCCACACUCAUGGAACUUACACGGAAUCUCCAAAUUCAGGAAAAGAAGUUUGGCCUCAGAGUCAGCCCAAAUCACCUAUUAGGCGACCUCCUUGAGAUGUGAGAUGUAAGAAGUGAGAAGUAGAAGAAAGUGAGAGAGACAGACGUUUGCCCCAACCGUGAAAGCAGAACUGGUCAAGGCCACCUGUCCUAGCAAGGGAGGGGAGGAGGGAGCUUGCUCACACCUUGUGGAUGGUCUGGUUGGGUGGGAGACACGGAGCUUCUGGGAAAGGGGUGCUGAUGGGUCUUGUCCCCUGUGUGGGAAUGGCGCUAGUACUAAUGUCCUGUCUGGCCUCAGGAUCCUAAGAGAGAUCAGUAAGAGUCUAUACCCAAGCAUGCUAGGACCCUAAUUUACCACAGUGAGCGCUGCAGCUUCUAGCUGGGGCUGAUAACAUGUUCUAAAAGGUUCAAUUCCGUAAAAGCUCUUCUCUUUGGGUUGUGAAAAGGUGUAGGGGAGGAAGAGAAGGGAAACCAUGAGCUUCUAGCUCUCGGAGCCAAUGUUGGCCCUCAUUUUAUUCUUUCUUUUGUUAACUCAUGUGUUUACCAGCCAUACCAAUAUCCCACAGAUCUUAUUGAAGGACUCGGAGAGACUUGCACACCACUUUAUGGGACCAUUUCUCCAAUUCUUACCAGUAUUCUUGUAUUUUUCUCCUGCAACCACCAAAAAGGGCAGUCUGGGUCCACAAUACUUUUGAAAUACUUAUUUAUAGUCUCUCAAUUCUGUUACCUAGCCUCAGAGGACAGCAUCCACCCAAAUACCAGUCAGUAACAUAUAAUGCCUCAAGUUGAGAUAGAAAAUAUAAGAUUCUCCAUAUUUUUACUAUAUCCAUAGAUUCCCGUAUAAUAAUUAAAAAAAAAUGAAAUUUAUCUUAUCUUGACCUGCAAAGCCAUUAGUGCUCUUGACUCAGCCUAUCUUUCUGAUCUUGAUCUCCAUUUUUGUCCAGUUGCUUUGUAUACUGCAGGAAACCUUGGUGGCCUAGUGGUUAAGUGCUAUGGCUGCUAACUAAGAGGUCCACAGUUCGAAUCCACCAGGCGCUCCUUGCAGUUCUACUCUGUUCUUUAGAGUCACUAUGAGUCGGAAUCGACUCGACCGCAGUGGGUCUGGUUUUCUGUAUACUGCUGUUUUGUCAUUGGCUCCAGAGCCAAUGUGCUGAAUAUCCUGUUUACCUUUGCUUCAAAAACAUAAUCCCCCUCCCCCCGGUCUGCCCUUUCUUUCUUCUCCAUCUAUUUGCAAAGUCCCUUCCUCUCAUCUUACCUCUUUGGUACAGCUUUCCCCAGUCUAUCCUAGCCCAUGGGCUCUCCCUUCCCCAAAAUCCCAGAUAGCCCACUAUUUGUAGCUCUCCCUGAGUCUUAGCAUUUACUGCCAUGUGUGUGUGUUUUGCUUCCCCUGAUAGAUUACAACUCCAUAAAGAGGUCCUUGGCAAGUCCAGAACACCUAACAUGGCAUCUUUGUAUAUUUAGUAUGCAAGAAUUGUUUUCUACUUAAAAACUAUUUAUGCCUUGUUUAUAGAGGAUUUAAACAGGUGGGUUUUAUAUAUUGAUUGAUUGAUUGAUGAUUGGCUGACCCAUUAAAGAUGUUGCUCACCUUUAUUAAAUAAAUAAAAAAAAAAAAAAGGCAGAGCAUCCUCGCCAGCCUGCUCAGUCAUGGGAUGCAAGCUGUCUUUAGGUAAAUUACAGUAUAGCAUAUACCCUUUUGCUGUGCAGGUGUGGAAUCUGAGGUUAAAAUUUCCUCCUCCACCUAUAACGUACAUAAUGAAACAAAUAUAGGAACAGAUAAUAGGAAAGUAAGUUAUAGAUGGUCCUUUAGAAGUCAAGUUAAUCUGCACAUCUAACCAUAAAAGCAGCAUCUGCUCUGCUAAAUACAGGUGUUUUAUAUCUUUGUCAUUAAUCGGAGGGGACAUUAUGUCUUCAUACAUCAAGAGUUAAGGUUGGUUAAAGUGCCACUUAUCUCAGGUGCUGUCAUUAAUCAGGUUCUUUUCAGCUUGGUGACUCCAAAGGCUUGGCUCAAAGCAGCUCUUUGUGAAUGGAUUUUCCCUAUAGGUUUUGAGGUGUCUUUUUAUACUCAUUUUGAAGGAAAACCUUGGGACCCAGACAUAGGUAGCCAUUAAGGUAGUUGUUCUGAUGCUUCAGAGAAAAGAAUCAUUUUUCCCCACCAUCUUCAAACACCCCAUAUGCCUCCACCAAAGAGCCACAGUGGAGAAGAAGGCAUAUCAACACAAGCUGUUGCCUCAUCACAGUUUAACCCACUAAUGGAUUUCAAAGACACCAGCUACAGUACAUCUGGUACAAACAGAGCUGAGAGCAGCAGAAUCCUAUGGAAGCCUGCACCUUCUCUUUCUGCCUGAUACUCCUGUCAACAGUGCCUCCCCGGCCGUCCAAAACCCUCAGUUUGGUACCCAUUCCAGACAGGCUUCCAGGACACAGUCUUCCCUAGUCUGUGCAAGUUGUUUUGGAUUAAGUUGUCAGGGAUGGUAAUGUAACCUUUUUCAAUUGUAGUUUUUACACUGCCAUCACCUUCACCCUAAAAAUUAAGGAAAAUAUUCAGGUAUCAGUUUGAUAAUUCAGGCAGAAGGCCAUUUGGUCCAUAUUACGUGCUCAUUUAGGGAGACCCUACUCUGCCCCGAAAAUAGAACUCCCUACAUAUCCCAACUUGGGUCUCUGAAUGUCCCAACCUAUGCAAGAUUGUAAGAACAAAGUGGGGUUGAGGGUGAUUCUAUUUUUAUUAUUCAUUUACUUAUUCAUUCAGUGGAUAUCUACUGAGUAUGAGGCAUAGUGCUAGGAGUGGAGGGUACAAUGACGAAGAGAUACAGACACAGUCCUUGCCCUUGAGGGUUUACAGUGGGAGUGGGACAGAAAUGGAUCAAAUAGCAACCAAAGACACUGUAAAAUUAAAACCAUGAUUAGCUCUCCAGGGGAAAGAGCUAUGUAUCCAUGCAAACAUGCAGCAAGGAACCUGACUUAAUUUGGGAAACCUCAGUUAAGGGUCUGACAUUUGACCUGUGAUCUGAAGAGUGUCCCUCUAGAGGGAGCAGCAGGCACAAAGUACUGUGGUUGGAGGAAGCACUAAGAAUAGCAGAAACUGAAAGUUCCUGUGCUAGGCAGCAUUCUAAGAUGGCCCUCAAGAUCCCACCCCUGGAAGUACACACCCUGCCUAAUUUCUGGACUUGUGAAUAUGAUAGAUUUUACUCCCGUGAUUGAAUGGUACCAUGAAAUUUAAGAAAGGAAGAUUAUUCGGGUGGACCUGACCUAAUCGUAUGAGCCCUUUAAAUCUGGGUUUAGAAUCAGAGACAGAGGAAGUCAGAGAUUCAGGGCAUGAGAAGGAUUCAAUGUACCAUUUCUGGUUUGAAGAUGGAGGGGCCCACAAGGCAAGGAAGGUGGGCAGCCUCUAGAGCAACCCUGGGUGACAGUUGGCAAGGAAAUGGAACACUCAGCUCUACAACCACCAGACACUGAAUUUUUCCAGUGACCAGAGUGAGCUUAGAUAGGGAUUUUUCCUCGGAGCCUCCAGAUGAGAGCUCGGCCUGGGCAAUGCCUUUAGUACCCUGAGCAGAGAAGUCAGCCACACCAUGCCUGGACUUCUGACCUAUAGACUGUGAGCUAAUAAACAAGUGUCGUUUUAAGCUGCCUAGUUCAUGGCAAUUUGUUGUACAGCAAUAGAAAAAUAAAGCAGAGCUUGGGUCUGAUAAAGCCUGGCAUUGUGGCUGGGCCAGAUCACACAGGGUCCUGAAAGCAGUGGCCAAACAUCUGAUCUUUAUCCUGACAAUGAUGAGAAGCCACUGAAGGGAUUAGGGUGGGAAUGGCAUGAUCAGAUUUUGCGUCCCUUUUGGUCCUCUCUUUUUAAUCUUCGCUGGUCCCCUUCAUUCUCCUCCCUUUCCUUGCCUGAAUCAAUUGUCAGUGCCUGAGGACUGAAUGUGGGUGGCAGUAAUAAAUAUUACCUGGGCAUUUAAGGUGAAGUAAUUUUUAACUAGUUACCAUCAAGUGGACUCCAACUCUUGGUGUCCACAUGUGUGUCAGAGUAGAACUGUGCUCCACAGGGUUUUCAGUGGCUGAUUUUUCAGAAGUAGAUCACUAGGUCUUUCUUUUGAGGUGGGUCUGGGUGGAGCUGAACUUCCAGUCUUUUCUAAUUGAGUGUGGUAAUGGUUUAUACCACCCAGGGACUCCUUAAAGUGAGGUAAAUAAAAAACAAACAAAAACCCAAACCCUUUGCCAUCAAGUCAAUUCUGAUUCAUGGUGACCCCAUGUGUUACAGGGUAAUACUGAGAUCCACGGUUUUCUUGGCUGUAGUCUAAACCCUGGUGGCAUAGUGGUUAAGUGCUAUGGCUGCUAAUUAAAGGGUUGGCAGUUCAAAUCUGCCAGGCGCUCCUUGGAAACUCUGUGGGGCAGUUCUACUCUGUCCUAUAGGGUCACCGUGAGUCAGAAUUGACUCGAUGGCACUGGGCGAGUAGUCUUUACAGAAGCAAAUCACCAGGUCUUUCAUCCACAGUAUCAGCAGGUGGAUUGGAAUCACCAAUCUUUCAGUUAGCAUCCAAGCCCAAACCAUUUUCUCCACCCAGGGACCUUUAAGGUGAGGUGAAGGGUUUUAAAAUCCGUUUCAAGAAACAUCCAAACUGAGUUGUCCUCAGCACCACCCGAGGGCAUUGUGUUUUCCAGCUGGGCAAUACUAAGGAAUGCAGGAUAUGGAGUCAGAAAUGAAUCCUACUUAUCCAUCCCAGGGCACCUUUGAAGAUUCGAAGACAUCCAGGCCACCCAUCAACCUAUCCAAAAUCACUAAAAAUUAGAAAUUAUCGAAUGCCCUUAAAACCAUGGUAAAAUAUUCUGUAUAUUUUUCUUCAAUUAAUUACAAAAAAGCCAAGUACCUUCUUAUGUUCUCUGGAGAAUUAUUACAUUUUAUAUUCUUUACCCCGAGAUAUACAUGCUUUUAAAAAGAAAGACACACUGCUUUUCUAGUGUUCAUUUACAUACCUUUGAUAAAUUACUGUAACCAGAUUGGGAAGAUAAAAUAACCAGUCUAUUAAUUACAAUGAUUAUUAUUUAAUGGAAAAUGGGAUUCUAGGCAAAGUGUGUAGAAAGAAGAAAGCUUAGCAAUGCAUUAUAUAGAUGUGGUAUUUUGUCUUAAAGAGUAAGAUAAGUGUCCAGUCUGCUCCAUAAUCUGCAGAAUAUAUUCAUUAACUCUGCAAGAUUUAUAUGUAUAAUAGACCAUAGUAUUUUAACACUAUUUGCUUGAUUUGGCAGUACAUGAAGAACAAAGAAAAACUGUAACUUCAAUUAAAUUGACUAAAUUCCUCAACGAGCAAAUAAAAGUCCAAGUCUACUCAGCAAUGUGGGAAGCAGAGGGUUGAACAAUGGUUCAAAUUUAAAAA